rnacentral:rRNA from 1 species
CUACGGAGGGCGCGAGCGUUGUUCGGAAUCACUGGGCGUAAAGCGGGUGUAGGCGGCCUGUCAAGUCAGAUGUGAAAGCCCACGGCUCAACCGUGGAAGUGCAUCUGAAACUGGCAGGCUUGAGUACCGGAGAGGGAAGUGGAAUUCCUGGUGUAGGGGUGAAAUCCGUAGAUAUCAGGAGGAACACCGGUGGCGAAGGCGACUUCCUGGACGGAUACUGACGCUGAGACCCGAAAGCGUGGGGAGCAAACAGGAUUAGAAACCCCAGUAGUCC